ACAACCUCGUACCCAGGGCUUCUGCGCUUAUUGCUCUCAGAAGCCCUGGGAUAAUCCAACUCAGAACGUGAUUUGAUUGGUCAAUGCGAAUUUUGGCAACAUGGCUGCUAUCACAAGGAGUGUAUACAAAAGUUAAAUGCUGGUUUUUGCAUGAAAAUACUUCCUUAAAUCAAAUUCUGGGCUAUUUUGAAAAGAGCAAAAGAAGAAAUGGACUAUUUGUAUUUGUAAAUAAGCAAGAAUGGCGAACAGAGUAAAAAAAUUAACAUAAUAAAGCGAAACAUUUCUCGUUCGAAAAUUGAAAUUUCAAUUAUAAAUCUACAACUUCAACCACGAU